rnacentral:rRNA from 1 species
UACGUAGGGUGCAAGCGUUGUCCGGAAUUAUUGGGCGUAAAGAGCUCGUAGGCGGUUUGUCGCGUCGAAUGUGAAAACCCGGGGCUCAACCCCGGGCCUGCAUUCGAUACGGGCAGACUAGAGUUCGGUAGGGGGGUCUGGAAUUCCUGGUGUAGCGGUGAAAUGCGUAGAUAUCGGGAGGAACACCAGUGGCGAAGGCGACUUCCUGGCCUGUUCUUGACGCUGAGGCGCGAAAGCUAGGGGAGCAAACGGG